AUUGAACGCUGGCGGAAUGCUUUACACAUGCAAGUCGAACGGCAGCACGGGGCAACCUGGUGGCGAGUGGCGAACGGGUGAGUAAUACAUCGGAACGUGCCCAAUCGUGGGGGAUAACGUAGCGAAAGUUACGCUAAUACCGCAUACGAUCUACGGAUGAAAGCGGGGGAUCGCAAGACCUCGCGCGAAUGGAGCGGCCGAUGUCAGAUUAGGUAGUUGGUGGGGUAAAGGCUCACCAAGCCGACGAUCUGUAGCUGGUCUGAGAGGACGACCAGCCACACUGGGACUGAGACACGGCCCAGACUCCUACGGGAGGCAGCAGUGGGGAAUUUUGGACAAUGGGCGCAAGCCUGAUCCAGCCAUUCCGCGUGUAGGAUGAAGGCCUUCGGGUUGUAAACUGCUUUUGUACGGAACGAAACGGCGAGCUCUAAUACAGUUUGCUAAUGACGGUACCGUAAGAAUAAGCACCGGCUAACUACGUGCCAGCAGCCGCGGUAAAAC
rnacentral:rRNA from 1 species